AUUAUACCGUGAAACUGCGAAUGGCUCAUUAAAUCAGUUAUCGUUUAUUUGAUAGUACCUUACUACUUGGAUACCUGUGGUAAUUCUAGAGCUAAUACAUGCUAAAAACCCCGACUUCGGAAGGGGUGUAUUUAUUAGAUAAAAAACCAAUGCCCUUCGGGGCUCCUUGGUGAUUCAUAAUAACUUCUCAGAUCGCAUGGCCUUGCGCCGGCGACGGUUCAUUCAAAUUUCUGCCCUAUCAACUUUCGAUGGUAAGGUAUUGGCUUACCAUGGUUUCUACGGGUAACGGGGAAUUAGGGUUCGAUUCCGGAGAGUUAGCCUGAGAAACGGCUAACACAUCCAAGGAAGGCAGCAGGCGCGCAAAUUACCCAAUCCUGAUACAGGGAGGUAGUGACAAUAAAUACUGAUACAGGGCUCUUUUGGGUCUUGUAAUUGGAAUGAGUACAAUUUAAACCUCUUAACGAGGAACAAUUGGAGGGCAAGUCUGGUGCCAGCAGCCGCGGUAAUUCCAGCUCCAAUAGCGUAUAUUAAAGUUGUUGCAGUUAAAAAGCUCGUAGUUGAACCUUUGGCCUGGCUGGCGGGUCCGCCUCACCGCGUGCACUUGUCCGGCCGGGCCUUUUCUUCUGGAGAACCGCAUGCCCUUCACUGGGUGUGUUGGGGACCAGGACUUUUACUUUGAAAAAAUUAGAGUGUUCAAAGCAGGCCUUUGCUCGAAUAUUACAGCAUGGAAUAAUAAAAUAGGACGUGCGGUUCUAUUUUGUUGGUUUCUAGGACCGCCGUAAUGAUUAAUAGGGACAGUCGGGGGCAUCAGUAUUCAAUUGUCAGAGGUGAAAUUCUUGGAUUUAUUGAAGACUAACUACUGCGAAAGCAUUUGCCAAGGAUGUUUUCAUUAAUCAGUGAACGAAAGUUAGGGGAUCGAAGACGAUCAGAUACCGUCGUAGUCUUAACCAUAAACUAUGCCGACUAGGGAUCGGGCGGUGUUAUUAUUUUGACUCGCUCGGCACCUUACGAGAAAUCAAAGUGUUUGGGUU
rnacentral:rRNA from 1 species